rnacentral:rRNA from 1 species
GACGAACGCUGGCGGCGUGCUUAACACAUGCAAGUCGAACGGUGAAGCGCCUUCCUUUUUGGUGGGUGUGGAUGAGUGGCGAACGGGUGAGUAACACGUGAGUAACCUGCCCCCUUCUUCUGGAUAACCGCAUGAAAGUGUGGCUAAUACGGGAUAUUCUGGGUCUGUCGCAUGAUGGGUCUGGGAAAGAUAUUGUUUCGGUGGGGGAUGGGCUCGCGGCCUAUCAGCUUGUUGGUGGGGUGAUGGCCUACCAAGGCGGUGACGGGUAGCCGGCCUGAGAGGGUGGCCGGUCACACUGGGACUGAGACACGGCCCAGACUCCUACGGGAGGCAGCAGUGGGGAAUAUUGCACAAUGGGCGCAAGCCUGAUGCAGCGACGCCGCGUGAGGGAUGGAGGCCGUCGGGUUGUGAACCUCUUUCGCCAGUGAAGCAGGCCUGCCUCGUUUGUGGGUGGGUUGACGGUAGCUGGAUAAGAAGCGCCGGCUAACUACGUG